rnacentral:rRNA from 1 species
UCCGUAGGUGAACCUGCGGAGGGAUCAUUAUAGAGUUAUCUAACUCACCAAAACCCCUGUGAACUUACCCAUGUUGCCUCGGCGGGGAACCUACUACCUACGCUGUAGUUGUAGGCUUGCCCGCCGGUGGACCAUACAAACUCUUGAUUUUAUUUUGGCACUUCUGAAUUAUCAUAAAUAAGUUAAAACUUUCAACAACGGAUCUCUUGGUUCUGGCAUCGAUGAAGAACGCAGCGAAAUGCGAUAAGUAAUGUGAAUUGCAGAAUUCAGUGAAUCAUCGAAUCUUUGAACGCACAUUGCGCCCAUUAGUAUUCUAGUGGGCAUGCCUGUUCGAGCGUCAUUUCAACCCUCAAGCCUUAGUUGCUUGGUGUUGGGAGCUUAUCUUGCCGAAAGGCGGGACAACUCCUUAAAUUUAUCGGCGGAGUCGCGGUGACCCCAAGCGUAGUAAAUUAUUUUUCCUCGCUUUAGGUGUUAACGCUGGCCUUCUAGCCGUUAAACCCCCCUAAUAUUUUAAUGGUUGACCUCGGAUCAGGUAGGACUACCCGCUGAACUUAAGCAUAUCAAUAAGGCGGGAGGGGAAGGUCGGACUGGCCAAGGGCACACAGGGGGGGAUA